rnacentral:lncRNA from 1 species
CCUGAAUCAAAAAUCAUUUCAUAGUAAGUAUUAGAGUGAAGCAUCAAUGUAAUAUUUGUAUAUCUUUGCAUAGGUAUAUGUAUGUAUUAACUAACUAAUGAGAUGUAUAAAUUUAUUCAAAAUUGAAUACCUGUUAAUAGCAUCUGUGAAUAUUGUAAGUUGAUCCAAUGUCCCGUGAACAUCGAAAAUGUCGUCAAUAACAUAAAUUAAAGAGAUGGGUUUUGUGAGCUCAAUCCUUUGUUCUGAAAAGUUUGGAUCUGUAAAGCAUGCCAUAGGCCAUGUGUACCAUUUCAGAGGUUGAUACCCUGAAAACUUCACCUCCUUGUCUAGUCCAAGUUCUUUCCACCAUCUAUUAAAUGAGGGUAUAGUUACGUUAGUUACCCCUAUGUAAAAUUUGAAUAAUUAUAAAGUCAACAUCUAUUUUUAACCAGAAAACAUACUUGGAAACUUCAAUGGUUUCAUUCUGGUUCAUGAACCUAACUAUGCCAGAAUUGAUUUUAGCAAGUUCCUCUAAACAUAUCAAAUCCUUCUCAGCCUUCAAAUCAUGCAUGAAUGUGUUUUUAUCCAUAAAUCUUGACAAUCCAUAGUGAAGUGGAUUCUGAAGAGUGUUUGCAACAUAUAAAGCAUCCUUAUGUUCUUGGUUUCUUGACAACCAUGCAUGUAGAAGCUCACAGCAGAGAUAUCCUACAUCGUUAAGACUAUCUUCUCCUUCAAUACUUAGUUGCGAUGCUUCGUAAAGGGCAAUGAGACCUUUCACAUCCUCACCAUGUUUUUCUUCAAACAUUCUUUUGUUACACUUCAAGCUGUCAAAUAAAUCUACACAACAAUUAUAGUUAGUCAUUUUAUUACUAAAUAUAUAUAUUCAAUUUUGGAGAGGAUCUGUAUUAAACAAACCUGCAUUUACGUAAUGGCCUCCUUGUCUCAGCAAGCGGAAUGCAAGUGCAACUUCAUAGAGUUCAUGGCUACUCACAAAAUCAAUUAUAGGAUUGGUGUUCAAUAUCAAAUGCAGAUUUUCAAGAGCCACUUUUAUUUCCUCAGCAAAAUAGUGCUCAAUACCAAACCUUUGGAUAAUAUCCAUCAAAUAAAAACUCUCCAUCGGAUCUUCGAUUUUAACAAGUUUCUUAUAAACUUGCUUAAAUAUUAAAGCUUGUUUGACAUAUACAACAUCCUAAAAUUGUAAGAGUGCAGAUUGAUCAGAAUAUUGAAAUAAAGCUAUAUAUGUUGUAACUAAAUUUAGAAUAGCUGUAUAUAUUCGUACUUCAAUUAAAAUACUUACCAUUCUAGAAAUUAAUGCUUUGAUAGUAAAUUAAAACAGACUCGCACUAGUACAGAAAACACUUUUUAAAUCAGGUAAAAAUGACUUUUUAAAUCGGUUCAAGAUCCGACUUAUAGGUGGCCGAUUUAAAAAACUGUCUUUGAUAGCUGGGGAUAUUGUUAAGAUAUGAAGUGGUUUGCUAUAGCUCAAGAAAGAUGGUUAUUUAUAGCUGAACAUUGCACAUAGUUGAUAUUUGUUAGUUUGAGCUACUGAAUGAUUGAAGGUCAGCAUAUGUAUGCUGCAUAUGUGUAUUGUAAGACAUUAAUUUAUUAGUUAUAGUUUGCCAAUGCUUGUUAUAGUAUGUUGCAUAUGUGUAUUGUAACACAUUAUUUUAUUAGUAGUUUUUCUUUUGUAAGACAUUAAUUUAUUAGUUAUAGUUUUCCAAUGCUUGUUAUAGUAUGCUGCAUAUGUGUAUUGUAACAUAUUAUUUUAUUAGUUAUAGUUGGGCAAUGCUUGUUAUAGUAUGUUGCUGAUGUGCUGUUGUCUAUUCAUGACUAUUUAACAUUAAUUAAAUAACAACGAUUAAUUUAAAGGAGAACAUGUUUCUUAUAUUCCAUGUUUAUUUUGUGAGGAACUUUAGAUCAAUCUUAAUUUAUUGCUUAUAUAUAUUGAACGUCCAAAUGUAAUAUAAUAUGUUUAGUCGAUCGUGCAAGUAGUAAAGGUCAAGAAGCCACGUUGGUUCAUUUUUCUUCAUUUUUUGGUAAACACGUGAUUGUAUGCAGCUUGGGACACGAUACUAAAUAUGGACACUUCUUACAAUUCAAAUUUGAAUUUUAUCCCGUCAUGCUGUGAGAGGCUAAGCGCUUGUGCUUUACCAAACUUCCUUUGUUUUUUUCUUUUUCUUAUAAAAUAGUAGUAAUAUGUUGAAUCAAGAAUGACAUAUUAAAAACUUAUUUGGUGUUGGUUUCAAGAAUGACAUAUUUUUAAUUUCGAGAAUAGUAUAACUACAUAGAUUAAAUUUGAAGAAUUCAUAUAAACCUCUUCAAUUCCAGUUUUGAGUUCCUCCAAAUCAGGAGGAUUUUGUAUUACGAAGAAAAUGAACCCUUCGAAGUCUUUUACUCUCAAUGUCAUCUAUUUAUUCCUCCCGGAUCUUCCUUUUUCUCCAAACCUCUCCCCUCCCUUCCCCCAAACUCGCAAACAAUGCCUCGAUGAAUUAGAGAGAAAGAAGUAUAUGAAAGACACUUGUUAUUAAAUUAGAGAGAAAGAAGUAUAUGAAAUACACUUGUUAUUGAAUGACAUUGUUGAGGGAAGAAGUGGUUGUUAAAACUGUGUAUUACCCCUUUUAUAGAGGAGGAUAACAUUCACUAACCGUAGUUACUUGUAUGGCAAGUAACCAUUCAAAUUAACAACCUUGUAAGCAACAUCUACUUCCUAUUUUCUAGUUUGAAUUACAAUCAACAGAAAUAAAAAACACUAACUCAAGAAUCAAUAAUUGUGCUUUGUUUGAUUUUCAAGGUGGAUUUCGAGAAAGCCUAUGAUUCGGUGGAUUGGAGUUUUUUAGAGUGUCCGAAUUGGGUGGCUUGAAUGAAGGUGUGUGUGUGGGGGGGAAGUAUGUCGAUCCUUGUCAAUGGUAGCCCUACAAAGGAGAUUAAUAUUAAAAGAGGCCUUAAACAAGGAGAUCCCUUAGCUCCUUUUCUCUUUUUGCUAGUGGCGGAAGACUUUAGUAGGGUAAUGAGGAAUGUGGUUUCACUUAAUCUCUUUUAAGGGUUUGAGUUUAGAAGAAAUGGUUUAGUGGUUUCUCACCUACAAUAUGCCGAUGUCACUCUUUGUAUUGGUAAGGCAAUGGUUGAUAAUCUUUGAUCCUUGAAGACGGUGUUAAGAGGUUUUGAGACGGCGUCGCGUCUUAAGAUUAAUUUUUUUAAGAGAUGUUUGAUUGGUGUUAAUGUUCCAAAUGAUAUUUUGGAAAUGGCUUGUAAUUUCUUGAUUAUUUGGGGUUACCGGUUGGAGCUAAUCCGAGAAGUUUCAUGACUUGGGAGCCGUUGGUGGAGCAUUUGGGAAUCUUGGGGGGCAUAAAUACAUUAGUUUGGGAGGUAGGAUUAUCCUCCUAAAUUCGGUGUUAAAUGUGAUUCCUAUUUUCUACUUGUCUUUCUUGAAGAUGCCAGUGAAAGCUUGGCGGAGAAUAGUGAGAAUUCAAAGAGAAUUCCUUUGGGGAGGUGUGGGAGCCGGUAGAAAGAUUAGUUGGGUGAGAUGGAAAUGGGUUUGUCAACACAAGGAUAUAAUGGUGGUCUAGGUGUGCGCGAUGUUAGAAUCCUAAAUGUUAGGUUGUUGGCAAAGUGGAAGUGGAGGUUGUUGGAUGGGGAAGAAGCCUUAUGGAAGAAUGUUUUGGUGGAGAUAUAUGGUCCAAGUAUUACUAGGAUGUUGGAUGGUGGGAUGACUUAAAAUUGGAGGUGUGCUUCUCUUUGGUGGAAGGAUGUGGUAAAUUUAGAAAACUUUGGUGCCCAAGGGUGGUUUAAUUUGGAGUUAACUAGAAUCAUUGGCAAUGGAAGGAACUCUAGUUUUUGGAAUAUUAAGUGGCGAGGGGAUACAACUUUUAGGAGUAAAUACCCAAGACUCUUCUCGAUUUCAAACCAAAAAGAAUCGAUGGUAGGUGAUAUAGGGGAGGUGGUAGGCUCUUCAACGGAGUCGCGUUUUGAGUGGAGGCGGGACAUUUUUGAUUGGGAGGAGCAACUCUUCCAAAUCUAUUGCUAGAUUUGGAAGGUAUGUUUUGGUCUCAUGAGGAAGAUAGGUGGAAGUGGGGUUUGGAGGAGUCGGGGAUGUUUUCCGUUAAGUCAUCAUAUGGAAAAUUAGAGGGCAUUGUGUUGACGGAAGAUUUCUGGAGUGAGACGGACAAAAGAGUGUUUAGAAAAAUAUGGAAAAGUCCGGCACCUUCGAGGGUGGUGGCUUUCUCAUGGAAGCUCCUUUAUGAUAGAAUUCCAACAAAGGUUAAUCUCGCGGUUAGGAAUGUCUUACCCAUGGAGGCUUCUCGGUUGUGAGCUUUAUGUGAAAGGGUGGAUGAAUCCUCAACUCACCUUUUCCUUCAUUGUGAUGUAGCAGGUAGGGUGUGGCAAGGUAUUAUGCGGUGGUGGGAGAGGAUUCUCUUAAUUCCGCCUAAUUUAUUUGUGCAUUGGGAGUGUUGGGUUAGGGUGUGCGGAAUAAGAAAAUUUGUAAGGGCCUAAGACUCAUUUGGCAUGCAACGAUGUGGGUGUUGUGGAUUGCGAGGAACAAUAAAGUGUUUAAUACCCGGAACCCGGAUGUGGACGAAAUUGUGCAUGACAUCAAGAUUUUGCCGUGGCGUUGGUCUUUGUAGAGAAUCCCUAUGCCUACGUGCAUGUACUAUGAAUGGUGUUGGUGCUCAACGGAAUGUCUUUUGCGGCUGGUUUAGCUGGUAGGGGCUGGUUCGGUCUAGUGAGAGGGGGGCUGUUGUUAGUUUUCUAUAGCAGCUGCUGUUUGGUGCUGCGGUGUCUGCUAUUGUGCCCGAACAGCUGCUGUGGGGCAUCUGUUUUUGCUGUUCUGCUCUCGGCUCUGGGAGUGUUGGUGCGGUUGUGUGAGUCUGUGUAUAGUUUGAGCAAUGGCUGUGUAUUUUGGUGGUGUUUUGACUGGAUUACAGGCACAUAGCUUUUGCUUCUGUCACCUUGACAACAUGGUAUAAGAUUCAUUUUUUUUUUUGGCUUUCGCACCGGUUUCCGACCCACCAAAGGUGGGCGACUAAUCCGGCUCGUGCGUAGAGGCAUGCAUACUGGCCAAGCGUUGUUUCCCCUGGGAAUCGAACCCAGUAUUCCCCGGGUGCGUUCUUGAAAGGAGCUCCUUGCCACUGGAGCACAAGCAACUUAGUUGGUAUAAGAUUCAUUUUAGUCAUGUGGCACAAGAACUGUUUCUUUUUUUCUCAGAAAGGAAUUUUACACAAAAAUUAUCUGUCUGAUAGUAAAAAUAACAACCAAAUAACACCGUUAGUCUGAACAUCAUAGGAGAAGAAACAUCCGCUCUCAUUAUCGGUCCCUCACUUUCCCUUAUUUUUGUCAUGAUUACUUUUCUUUAUCAUCUUACUCCUACCACUGUGAUAUUAAAAAAGCAUUGUUGAUGGUUCUUCGUGACGUUAAAUAAAUUGGCACCAUUUAGGCAUUUUCCUUCAUAAGUUAGUAAUGCAUCUUCAACUUAUUACUAGUGCCCUGAAUAAUACCUUUUAGAAUUGGUUUCCUUCUUCUAGAUGAAUUCUUAUAUGUAUAUAUUAUGCUUUUGAUAGAAACAUGGCACACUUCACUUUCACCAAUAUUUUCAUUGUUUCUUUCGUAUGGGCCAAAUCAAGGAACCUGUAGGUUGGCUGUAAGAUUAUUUUCGCUAUUAUUUUCUAGAUGACCUUAAUAGUGUAGUUAUCUGUAAGAUUAAGAAAGUCCAAUUGCAAUGCUUAUAAUUUCAUUGAAGUACAAGGUUUGAGUACCAAUAAACAAAUGGGUUAUUAGUACCAAGAGAACCAUGAGAACAAUAUUGCCUAAUUUAAAUUACAAAAUCAAUAUGUUGUACAUAAACAACAGAACACAAUAUCUGAAAAUGUACUAAUUACACCCAACACUAACAUUAAUCAAUGACUUGACAUGUUCCUGGAGAUUAGAGAGGCUUGGGUUGCUCUUAUAGUGGUACAUGAGGGGAACCAUUCUUGCAGCAUUGAGACAAAAGUUGGAAAAUGACGAUGAAAACUGAUUUGCAACCAGAAUUUCUUGAUUGAGACAUUUCCAUUCAUUUGAAAUCAUGUGAGCAACAUGUCUUUGCACGUCUUCACCGGAAAUAUCUUGGUGUUCACUCAUGUAGCAAUCAAGGUAUGACCCAUCAAGACCAUUUUGCUCUCCACUCUGCAUUCAUUCAUGGAUAAUAAUUCUUAUCAUUAGAACUUUACAUUUUACAAUUGCGUUAAUUGGUUGAACAAUUUAAUCAAAUAUUUGUUUAAUAUAAUUUAGGAGACAUAUUUCAUACCUUAGCUCCUUCUAAAUCAUCAGAGAGACGAAGAAUUUUUGCCACUGAAUAUAUGACAUUUGGAAACUUUUCAUCCAAGAUAUCAAUUGUUUUCUUUGUUAUACCAUUAACAUGAUCCAACAGGAAGAAUGCAUGUAUAAGCACAACAUGAACUCCAGUGCUCACGAUUCCAUUAUUCAAGUAAUCCUCUGCUCUUGGCAAGUGUCCAGAAUUCAACCAAUGGGCCUCUUCCAUGAAAGCGUUCAAUAAGAGUAUCCACUGUUUCGCACAAAUAUUUUUAUAUACUCAGUUGUUUGAAAAAAUAAUUUAUAUAUAUGAUGAAAUAAAGAAGACAGAUAGCUAGUGUACCGAUUUUUUGAGAGUGUCUAUAGGGUUAAAUCCAUGCUUUUUGUAGACCAUUUCAGCAAAACUAUUGGUAAUGUCGUAAAGUGCAUUCAAAGCUAUUUUCAUGAAGUUUGGAAGUUGCUCUGUACCAGUGAAUUCCCACCUGAAUUAAAAAAUUGCAUAGUAAGUAUUACUGUAAAGCAUGAAUGUAAUAUUUAUAUAUAUUUGUAUAUAGGAGGUAUAUUUUUUAUAGAUCAUGCGCUACAAACCCUUUGUGGAAAAUUAUGAUAUUAAGCCUCACUUAGUUUAUGACUAUAAUUAUAUAUAUGAAUUAACUAAAUUAUGAGAUGUAUAUAUUUAUUCAAAAUUGAAUACCUGUUAACAGCGUCUGUGAAUAUUGUAAGUUGAUCCAAUGUCGCGUGAACGUCGAAAAUGUCAUCAAUGACAUAAAUUAGAGAGAUAGGUUUGGUGAGCUCAAUCCUUUGUUCUGAAAAGUUUGGAUCUGUAAAGCAUGCCAUGGGCCAUGUGUACCAUUUUAGAGGUUGAUACUCUGAAAACUUCACCUCCUUGGCUAGUCCAAGUUCUUUCCACCAUCUAUCAUUUGAGAGAAUAAUUACAUUAGUGAUUUCUAUCUAAAUUUUGAAUAGUUAUAAGGUCAACAUAGAUUUUUAAUUAGAAAACAUACUUGGAAACUUCAAUGGUCUCAUUCUGAUUCCUGAACCUAACUAUGGUGGAAUUGAUUUUAGCAAGUUCCUCUAAACAUAUCAAAUCCUUCUCAGCCUUCAAAUCAUGGAUGAAUGUGCUUUUAUCCAUAAAUCUUGACAAGCCAUAGUGAAGAGGAUUCUGAAGAGUGUUUACAACAUGUAUAGCUUCAUUAUGUUCUUGGUUUCUUGAUAGCCAAUUAUGUAGAAGCUCACGGCAGAGAUAUCCUACAUCGUUAAGACUAUCUUCUCCGUCAAUACUUAGUUGUGAUGCUUCGUAAAGGGCAAUGAGGCCUUUCAAAUCCUCACCAUGUUUUUCUUCAAACAUUCUUUUGUUGCACUUCAAGCUGUCAAAUAAAUCUACACAACAAUUAUAGUUAGUCACUAUAUUACUAAAUACUCCUAUAGUAAAAUUAUGUAUUCAAAUGUAGAGAGGGUACGAAUUAAACUAACCUGCAUUGACAUAGUGGCCUCCUUGUCUCAGCAAGCGGAAUGCAAGUGAAAAUUCAUAGAGUUCAUGGCUAUUCACAAAAUCAAUAGGAUUGGUGUUCAAUAUCAAAUGUAGCUUUUCAAGAGCCACUUUGAUCUCCUCAGCAAAAUAGUGUUCAAUGCCAAACCUUUGGAUGAUAUCGAUCAAAUAAAAACUCUCCAUCGAAUCUUCGAUUUUAACAAGUUUCUUAUAAACUUGCUUAAAUAUCAAAGCUUGCUUAACAUAUGUAACAUCCUGAAAAAGUCAAAGUGCAGAUUGAUCAGAACAUUGAAAUAAAGCUAUGUUGUAACUAAGUUUAGAAUAACUGUAUAUAUUUGUACUUCAGUUAAAAUACUUACCAUUCUAGAAAUUAAUGCUUUGAUAAUAAAACAGACUUGAUUCGGUGUUUAUAGCUGGGGAUUGUUAAGAUGAUUAUUUUGAAGAAAUGGGAAUGAUAUGUUGAGCUAUUUAUAGUUUAACAUUGCACUCGUUUCAUAUUUGCUCUUUUGAGCUACUGGUAGAUUGAAGGUCAGCAUGUGUAUGCAGCAUGUGCAUUGUAACACAUUAAUUUAUUUAGUUAUAAUAUUGAUGCAUUAUGUCGCUGACUUCAUGUUGUCUAUUCAUGACUUUUCAACACUAAAUAACAAAACAAAUAUUAAUUUAAAGGAGAACAUGUUUCUUUUAUUAAAAUAUAUAAUCAAUGCCCAUUCUUCCACACAAAAAAUGUGCCUUACGUUAAUACUUGUUUAUUUUGUGAGGCACUCUAGAUUGAUCUGAAUUUGUUGGUUUAAUUUAAAGUUUCUAUUGAACAUUCAAAUAUAAUAUAAAGAAUUAUGCAAGAACCACACUCUUUUCAACAAACUCUCUUUAGUUGGUUGGAUUUUAAAUGGGCCUCACUAAAUUAAUGGGAGCUACAUGAUUUAAUAUAACUCAUUUGACUUGCAACAAAUUAGAGAAUGUGUUGGAGAUAGUGUAUUAAAUAGUGUGUUACUAUCGCUCCUCGUAAUGUAUUUGUUUAGAAGAUAAAGUAAAUUGUAAAGGUAAAGAAGCCGCUUUGGUUGAUGUUCUUGAUAAAUUUCUAUAUGAUUUUUCUUUAUGAGAAUGUUAACAACACUCUCUCUAAUACUUACUCUCUUAUUGGUGGGUAAUUUACCUUAAUCAAUGAGCAUUCACCUUUUUAGAUGGUAUCCAUAAACUAUCUUGACCCCACCAAUAAAUUGUUCAUUUUCAUCGGUUGAUGGGUAAAUUACCCAUCAUACUUCAAAGGUAAUCUAGAAAAAACCUUAUGUUAAAUAUCCACGUGAUCGCUACUUUAAGUGGUACUCAUUUCUAAAAUAUUUGACUUAUAUUAAUUUCAUUCAAUAAAAAAUAAGUGUUAGAGCAUAGUGUGUUAGAAUGAAAAUGUUUUUAACAUUUCUCUUUUCUUCACUAUAUAGUAAGAGCAAUGCUAGUAACACAUAUUUUAACACACUUUAAUCGGUUAAAAUUCACAUGGACCCCAAAAAAGACUCCUAAACAUACUCUGCUGAAGCGAAAAAGUGAUUCUAAAUGAAUGCCAAUAUAACAGUGAUUCUAUAAAAUGUUUGGUUCAUAUAUAUAAACAGAAUACAUCACACAAAAAGCAAACAUAUCACAUAUUCAACUAAUUUUCCAUAUCCACAGCUUGAGUUAAAACCUAUGAAGCAUUAACACAUACACGAUCAUGUAACACGUGGACACCGGUAAUAAUUUGAGAAAAUGACAAAAUUGAAUGUAAUUACAUGUGUCGGUAUCAGAAACAAGCAUGUGUCAGACACCGGACACGUCUUCCGUUAGAAGUGUCGGUGUUACAAAGGUCAAUUUAUUUGGGAAAUGGAGAGAGAAAGAAGUAUAUGAAAGACACUUGUUAUUCAAUAACAUUCAAGUUCAGCGAAAAACUCUAACUAACUUCUAGUCUCUAUUAACAACCUUGUAAGCUACAUUACAAGCAACAAUUACUUCCUAUUUUCUACUUUGAAUUACAAUCAACAGAAAGAAAAAACACUAACUCAAGAUUCAAUUACAAGUGCAUCCAUAUUUUGUUUUCCUUCAGGUUAUUUGGUAUAACAUGAUUACACAUAGGAUCCAUAAACAGCACCCCCGUAUUUACCUUGUCAUGAAUCAUUUAUUAUAGAAUGAAAAAUGAUAUUCUGAGACGAAACUUUUAUGCUUUGUUGAUUAAUGAUUAUUAGAACCGAGAUGCAUAUUUUUCCUGUGCUUCACAUGUAGUUAAAAAUUUGCCAAGAACCAUGACCGAUCACCCUGUAAUGAGAGUAAACUCUAAUUUAAUAAUGCUUAUCACCAGGCCCCUGAUUUAAUAACUUCAUUCCUUUAUGGUUUGGUUAGGGUAAGCUUUUAACUUGUUUAAAAUAUUAACAGAGCUAGAAAAACAAAAAUUUCAGCAUAAAAAUUUCAGAACUAGACCCUUAAUGUUAUUUUAUGUUUAGUGCAAAAGGGAAAUGAGGAUCUAAUGAGAUUUUUUAGGUUUUGACUUUUGGUUCUUUGAUUUCAAGCUUGGUAUUACAGACCUUAGUCUGCACUCUGGAAUUUUCAAAUAUUUAGAUAAUUGCAAGUUUAAAGGAGUUUUGUCAACAUGUUGUAACUAGUAAUUGUUUGCCUCCUUCCAUGGAACCAAAACUCAAAGCAAAUGCCCGAGUAAUUUUAAUAACUUCAUUCCUUUAUGGUUUGGUUAGCUCCUUUCUUCUUUGAUGGUCUCUCAGCGUUUCUCUGUUUAACUCUCUCUAAAAUAAGUGAUAUCCGCUGGAAAUGACUUGGAAGCUAUUUAUACCAUGUCUGGUAAGUAACUGCUCACUUAGCCAUGCCCAGGCUCACCGUGGCGAGCGAAGCUUUCUUCACCAAUGGGUUUCUGCCACAUCAGCAAAGUGGCCCUCAAACCACCUUAGCUCCCGUGGCGAGCUCAUGUCUUUCUCAGCCACGCCUUGUUUUUCUGAUUUUCCUUGCUCUCUGUCUACCCUCACUGCAGCUUCGCUAUGGCGAGCCUCUUGGCCAUGACCUCAUUGUGGGCUCGUUGUGGCCAUGGUGACAGCAUCUGAUUUUCUUCACUUUCUGACUUGCCUUCGCUUUGGUCUCGCUUUGAGCUUGCUUAGCAAACCUCUUGACAUAUUUUUCUUUCCUUUUUUAUCUUAAAGUCCAUGGCAAGUGAAUUUUACCUACAUAAAUGUUGGUAUUAGACAUAAAACGCACAUAUUGCUAUUUUUCUAUUAAUUUGGAGCUUUUACAUAGAUAAUUUGCAAAACAAGUUAAUAAGUGCCUUAAUUAUACAUGUGAUUUAUCCAAUUUCUGGCACUUACCAACUCGCAAACAAAACCUUGUUGAAUUAGAGAGAAAGAACUAUAUGAAAUUAAAGACACUUGUUAUUAAAUUAGAGAGAAAGAAGUAUAUGAAAGACACUUAUUAUUGAAUGGAAUUGUUGAGUGAAGAAGUGGUUGUUAAAACUGUGUAUUACUCCUUUUAUAGAGGAGGAUAACACUCACUCACCGUAGUUCCUUGUCAGGCAAGUAACCAUUCAAAUUAACAACCUUGUAAGCACCAUUACAAGAAACAGCUACUUCCUAUUUUAUAGUUUGAAUUACAAUCGAUAGAAAUAAAAAAACACUAACCCAAGAUUCAAUAACUGUGCUUUGGUAUACCACGAUUACACAUAGGCUCCAUAAACAACACCCUGGAAUUUAGCUGGUGAUGAAUCAUUGAAUAGUUCAGAAACAAGCGAGGUUUUGUCUGUCUUGGCUGGGUCAUGAAAUGUUGCUACAGAGAGCCUUGCUCUAUCAUAAUACAAUGCUAGUCAGCCACAUAUCCUAUAAAAGCUUGGUUUCAUGUAUGGAUAUUGUUGUAAACUCAAAAAUCACUAUGAAUGAAAGAUAAUAUUUUGAUAUGAAACUUUUAUUCUUUCAUACAUAGAUACAUGAGCAAACAUCCUAUACAAGCAUGGCAUAUUUUCUUGUGCUUCACGUGAAGUUAUGGGUUUUCUAUGAACCUUGACCCAACCACACUCAACGUCCUUCCUACAAUGAUCUUAAACACAAUCAGAAAAACACAAUUGUUCGCAUGAUUAGUCGUAAUUGAAAGCUUGCCUCGAUGUCUAAAUAAGUAAAUUACAUUAUUGAAUAAUUGACUUGCACUGAUUAAUUGGAUCUCAGUAAUGUGAUGACACUCAGAAACUCUUAGUUUCAUGUACUUUAGUCACCUUGACAACAUGGUAUAAGAUUCAUUUUAGUCAUGUNUUAACAGCGUCUGUGAGUAUUGUAAGUUGGUCCAAUGUCCCGUGAACAUCGAAAAGGUCAUCAAUAACAUAAAUUAAAGAGAUAGGUUUGGUGAGUUCAACCCUUUGUUCUGAAAAGUUUGGAUCUGUAAAGCAUGCCAUGGGCCAUGUGUACCAUUUGAGAGGUUGAUACCCAGAAAACUUCACCUCCUUGGCUAGUCCAAGUUCUUUCCACCAUCUAUCAUUGGAGAGAACAAUUACGUUAGUGAUCUCUAUCUAAAUUUUGAAUAGUUAUAAGGUCAACAUAGAUUUUUAAUUAGAAAAACAUACUUGGAAACCUCAAUGGUCUCAUUCUGAUUCAUGAACCUAACCAUGGUGGAAUUGAUUUUAGCAAGUUCCUCUAAACAUAUCAAAUCCU